rnacentral:rRNA from 1 species
AUUGAACGCUGGCGGCAGGCUUAACACAUGCAAGUCGAACGAGCGGCGGACGGGUGAGUAACGCAUCGGAAACUGCCUGAUGGAGGGGGAUAACUACCGGAAACGGUAGCUAAUACCGCAUACUAUCCGAGGGGCCGAGAUUGGAUUAGCUGGUUGGUGGGGUAAUGGCUCACCAAGGCGACGAUCCGUAGCUGGUCUGAGAGGAUGACCAGCCACACUGGGACUGAGACACGGUCCAGACUCCUACGGGAGGCAGCAGUGGGGAAUUUUGGACAAUGGGCGCAAGCCUGAUGCAGCCAUGCCGCGUGUGUGAAGAAGGCCUUCGGGUUGUAAAGGACUUUCGUCAGGGAGGCGUUACUUGCAGAAUAAGCACCGGCUAACUCCGUGCCAGCAGCCGCGGUAAUAC